GAAGUGUCGAUUCCCCUUCCUCCCUCUUCCUCUUUGCCGUCGAGACCUCACCGCCACUCCUCCCUCUCCCUAUUCUCAUCUGUCGUCUCCUCUUCUCUCCCUCUCGCGAUUCUCCCUGUCUGAUCGCCGGCCGCCCGCGAGUUCACCUCCAAUGGAGGUCUUCUCCUCUAUCGUCCCUCACCUCCGCCACUCGACCUUCCUCUCCCCGAUUUCCACUUCGUCGCUGGCACAGAUUCAUCGCCGCUCUUCGCCGGAGUCACUUCAAUCGAAGCCACCAACCACAACAAGCUCUCGAUCUGCCAUCGCCGACAGUCGAGCGGUGUUCUCUGUACCCCUCGGUGCUGAGCCCUCACGACUCCACCGCACGAUGACGCCGCUGCCGAUCUUGUGUUCCGAUUUCCACUCUACCUCAUUCUCCUCUGCCGACUCAAGCCACUUGCGGAGUGAUCCCGGUGUCCUGGUCCAGUGUCAGACCUCUCCCUUGCGCGUCUCUGCCGACUCCAUUGCUGCAAGCUCUACUGGGCUGUGCCCUAGCUUUGGUUAACUCUGCGUCGCUACAACCACCAGUCUGGUGAAGAUCAUGUGUUCGAUGAAAUGCUUAAUUCCUCUUGCUGUCACUGUUCGUGUCGUCAACGCUGUCAACGGCCACCAUAUUCAGUGAGUAGUUGUUGGAUUAAUGAACAACCCUGGAGAAGAAGAGGGAGGCAUAGGAGGGAUAGUGAUUUCAUCUUCUCUGGAGGAGAGUUAUACCAGCUAUGGUCGUUAGCUGAGCCAUCAAUUUCGGUGAGUGGUUAGUAUGGAUUUAUGUGUAGUUUAAUCUAUUGGAUUGUGGAUUUAGUUAGUUGGUGUGAGUAUUUAUGCUUGGAAUUGAUUAGUGGAUGAAUAAUUUAGUCAUGGAUUAGUUAUUUGAAAUGAGCUACAGAUUGGGUUGUGGGAUGAUAAGAGGUUAUGGAUUCUUAAUCAGAUUAAUGUUAAGGUGACUAUUUGGUUCAUGAUGGAUUUAGCUAACUAGUUCAUAUUUGACUUAGUUAUAUUAUGCAUGAUGUGAUUUGCAGGACGUUGAUUCGAGACUAGCGUCUCGGUAUGAGAUUAUUUAGCAUGAUCAUUAGAUAAAGGCGGGUACUUCUUGCUUUAUCUCUUUAGUACAUUAUUUUUAGUGCAUGAGCUAUACCUUCGGAUAGUUUCUGUAUUUAUCUUGACUCCACUCAUAUUUUUCCUGCGUUUGAUACUUCCACUCAAUCUUUGAGCUACUCGUUUCUGUAUCUAUACAGUCUCUCGUUGUUAUCCAUGAUAUUUAGCAGAUACCGAACACCAGAUACUAAUUACUAGAUACUAGAUAUAUAGAUACCAGAUACCAUGUUUACUUGCUUUGACUGCUAUUUAUUCACGUUUCUUAUUGAGCAUGCUGGCUUCAUAUAGCAUACCUGUUUCUAUUUAUAUAUAUAUGAUGACUGUUACAUUGUUUGCAUCAUGUCAUUACAUGCAUUGUCGACGACUUUGGCUCCCUUGUGGUUGAGACGGUCGUUGGCUUGGGUCGCACGCUCGGCCACUCAUGGGUAGUGGUAGCUAAAGCGUGUCGCAUGUCUUGUCGUGCCCCCACUCGCACACUCAUGGGUAGUGAUAGCUGGAGUCGCGGGCAGCAAGGACCCCCGUCGCAGACAUAGCUAUUCAGCUACUAUGCAACUGUCCCCUCGGCCACUCGAAAGUAGUAGUAGUUGGAGUGAUGUACAGUCUGCUAUUGUCCCGGCCUCUCGACCAUACUGGGGUCAUGGUACAGAGGGGUGGGCGGGAGUGACCAUCCGUGCAUACGCUGUUAUUAUUAUACUUGCUGUUACUGUUGCUUAUUUAUGCUGUUAUGCUUACAUAUGUUAAGAUAUACAUCUGUUGUAUGGGUUUAGACACUGACUCACUUAUUGGUAUUAUGUAUAUACCUCACAUGCUACUCUUUUAGUUAUGAGCAGUACCGUAGCAGGUAUGUACUAUUCCCGACCUUACUAGUCUAGGAUAUGGUUUCAGGUAUGGACACUUAUUAUGAUAUCAUUGUAGUAUCUGUUAUAUUCCCUACGAGACUGUAUACCUUUGUAUCUCUAGUUCUUUACUAUUCUCAUGCACUAUCUGUCUAUU